GAUGAACGCUAGCGCUAGGCUUAACACAUGCAAGUCGAGGGGCAGCGAGGGUAGCAAUACCUGUCGGCGACCGGCGCACGGGUGAGUAACGCGUAUGUAACCUGCCCGCAACAGGGGGAUAACCCGGCGAAAGUCGGACUAAUACCGCAUAAAACAGGGGUCCCGCAUGGGAAUAUUUGUUAAAGAUUUAUCGGUUGCGGAUGGGCAUGCGUACCAUUAGGUAGUUGGUGAGGUAACGGCUCACCAAGCCUUCGAUGGUUAGGGGUUCUGAGAGGAAGGUCCCCCACACUGGUACUGAGACACGGACCAGACUCCUACGGGAGGCAGCAGUGAGGAAUAUUGGUCAAUGGGCGAGAGCCUGAACCAGCCAAGUCGCGUGAAGGAUGACUGCCCUAUGGGUUGUAAACUUCUUUUACAAGGGAAUAAAAUGAGAUACGUGUAUUUUAUUGCAUGUACCUUGGGAAUAAGCAUCGGCUAACUCCGUG
rnacentral:rRNA from 1 species